AUCCAGAAAUGGGAAUCGAGCCCACAGUGUUCCGCUUACCGGGAAGAUACCAUGUCCACUAGGCUACCCUGGA
rnacentral:tRNA from 1 species